UUGAGGCAUUGAAGGAGAAGAACAAAGAAUGUCUUGCGAGUACCAGUGGAAGUGCCAUAUACAACACAAGGUCAAAAUUAAAACUGAAAGAGGUGGCGAGGAAGUCAGUGGCGCAGGAGGAUGCUGGAUCAGUUAAUCAUCCACAUAAAGAUAGCAAUGUGAUGGAGGAAAACACUCCAGCCUAAAAUGAAAGGAUCAAUGUGGCAUGGUGCUUUCAGACUGAUGCAGGACCAGUUAGUCAUCUACAGAAAGAAAGCAUUUUGAUGGAGGAAGACACUCUGAUCUCGAAGGUAGGGAUCGAUGUGACCCAAUGUUUCCAGACCUAUUAGCAUUUGAACUUUUUCAAGAGGUUUCUAAAAAAGAAUAACACAAGACUUGUGAGUCAAAGAUGUAACCAGCAGGAAAGGAAGUCUUUCUUUUGAUUGCUUGUGACAGUAAUGAUAUUUACAAGUCUCUAGCAAACUAUGGUGUACACGGUGGACCAUUAUUAUUAUUGUGUUUUGAGUGUGGAAAGUAAAGGAAUGUGCUGAUGAAUACUUGGCUUCUUUAGCUAGUUCCUCUGGAAUAUAUUGGGCAUGUAUUUUGCGGUGAAGGACCAGUUAAGGAUCCACUAAAUGGUAGCAAUAUGAUGGAGGAAGACGUUCCGACCUCGAAGGAAGGGAUGGAGAUAACCCAGUUUUAUCAGACCGAUCAGGAGUACUACCAAUUUUAAUCAAGGGAUAAUGGCACCAGGUGGAGUUAGACCCCCUCGCACAUCACACGCAGCCUCUCAGUUGUC